rnacentral:rRNA from 1 species
CCUACGGGAGGCAGCAGUGGGGAAUUUUGGACAAUGGGCGCAAGCCUGAUCCAGCCAUUCCGCGUGAGUGAAGAAGGCCUUCGGGUUGUAAAGCUCUUUCGCAAGGGAAGAAACGAUACUGGUAAAUAAUCAGUGUUAAUGACGGUACCUUGAUAAGAAGCACCGGCUAACUACGUGCCAGCAGCCGCGGUAAUACGUAGGGUGCGAGCGUUAAUCGGAAUUACUGGGCGUAAAGCGUGCGCAGGCUGUUUUGUAAGUCAGAUGUGAAAUCCCCGAGCUCAACUUGGGAACUGCGUUUGAAACUACAAGACUAGAAUAUGUCAGAGGGGGGUAGAAUUCCACGUGUAGCAGUGAAAUGCGUAGAGAUGUGGAGGAAUAUCAAUGGCGAAGGCAGCCCCCUGGGAUAAUAUUGACGCUCAUGCACGAAAGCGUGGGGAGCAAACAGGAUUAGAUACCCUGGUAGUCCACGCCCUAAACGAUGUCAACUAGUUGUUGGUAGAGUAAAACUCUAUGAGUAACCGCGAGCUACGACGUGUAGUUAGUACCGCCGUCGGGUAGGUACGGAGUCGCGAGAGUUAAACGUUAACGUAAGAAAGUUAGUACGGACGUGAGACGNGCCGACGGACGACGACGAGGGAGGAGGG